UCUGUGAAAGCAUUGAAAUAAACCUUUUUAGCUAUUUUUUACUUUUAAACUAAGCAUAGUUUAAUAGGUAUACUGCCUAGUGCCUAGUAAUGUAGUUUAUACUAAGCUGGAAUAUCACGAAAAUAUUUUUAUUUAGCAUUCUGUUUUCGCAUAUUUUUUUUUUUCAUUUACUUGCCACCGCGCGUUGGGUUUGUGAUUUCCGGAAAAUUGUACAUCGUAGUUUUUUUUAUAGUUCCAUCCUCGGUUCCGUCACGAGUGUUUAUUAAUUCCCCGUUAAAGCAACCGUUUCUACAUAGCGGAAAAUGCACAUGGAUAAUGGCCGUUCGCUGGCCCGUUUUGGCGAUUUGCAAAGCAACGGUAGCUCUUCUUCAAGGACGACGACUGCAACAUCCGCUGAGCUGCUAUAUAAUGGUUCCCGCUCGGGUUCCCGCUUUUAAUCUGUGCCAUACAUACGAGUAUCAUGGCUCGAAGCAUUUGGAUUGCCCGAGGAAUGCCGGAGGGGCCACUGGCGCUCAAAACAGCUUCGCCGCGAGAAGUCAUUCCAGAACCUGCACGAUGCGGGACGUUUAGAUUUGGUAUUUUUGUGGAUCAUCCGAUCGAAAGAACCGGAAACCUUUGUGUCGGCAUGUGAAUUGGGCUUAUUCUACGAGUGGAGUGACGUGAGAUUGCUCGAAUGACGUGAGAAGAGUCGUAUAGCCCCAUUUGAAUAACAUGGUCACCUCACGUGAGAAUUGCUAAAAUCGACUCACCUCACGUCACUCGACUCGUAGAAUAAGCCCAAAUGUUAUUUUGAUCCUCGAGCCUAAAGCAAAAGUGCUUCACCUCCAUGAAAUAAUAUACGCUUAUUGCUUUCUAUCUGGUGCUAAUGAUAAUGAAACAUUCUUGGUAAGACAGCUAAGCACGUAGGACCAAAAUCACUCGCACCCCACCUACUUUAUGUUCAGCGAAACAACUAGGCCCCGUUCCCGUUUAUUCCCAUAUUGUCGAGCUUCUCCAUCCUCAGCGGAAGACAGCCAAGCGCAGGAUAAUGGCUAGCCACACGCAUUUUGUUCCAGUUUAACGACUCAACUAGGUCCGGUUCCGUACCGCUAGGUAGUCCACAAACGAUUGCAUAACAUCAUUUUUUUCAAAGAUUUUUUAAAAAUAAAUCUGAUGAAAAUUGUACUUUGAUUUUGAUUUUUAUGUUUUCAAUUAUUAGAAACAAAACAAAAAGAAACAAACAUAUCCUAUAAAUCAUUCUUGAAUCCAAAAUAAACUAAACAAUAAUAAAGCUCA